rnacentral:lncRNA from 1 species
UUUCCCUUUUUCCCCUUCUCCAAUCUCUCUGUAACCUUAUUUCUCCACCCGCAUCUCCAUCCUCCUUUCCCUUUUUUCCCCAUGUCCCUCCGCCUCUCCCUCCUAUUUCCCUUUUCUCCAAUCUCUGUAAACUUACUUGUCCCUACGCCUCUCCAACUUCCAGCUUUCAUUGAAUCCCAUGCCGUAGAAAAUCGAGGUCGAUGAACCCAGGGCAGCGAAGCAGACGAAGGAGAUAAAGAUGCAGCGAGAGUGGACGAAGGCAAGAGAGGACGAUGGAAGGUCUUAGCUAGUCCUAUGGGUGUCGGGGUCUCUCGCUAAGACCGGCUAGUGAAGGCGUUUGUGAAAGCGAGUCCCACCUAGUGCCAUUAAUGUUAGUCUCGCCAGCCACCAAACACAGGAUUAUAGUCCUAUUUAAGCUAGUCCAAGCCAGUCCCUCCUAAGGAGCUAUAACAAACGCC